UAUCUUGUUUUGUAGGUUUUUGCUCAUGCACCAUGGUUGUCUGAGCAUGCAGUGUGUUUGUCUGCUCAUUCCCCAUGGUUCCCGAGCAGGAACCUUUGUUGCCUACU
rnacentral:pre_miRNA from 12 species